rnacentral:lncRNA from 1 species
UGUGAAUCAUCUGCGGACCUGUUGAACUGUAGAUUCUGGUUCAGCAGGCUGGGCUACGCUUCACAAGCCUCCUAGGCGAUGCUGAUGCUGCUGGUCCACAGAUGACACUUUGAACAGCAAAGUCUGCUACUGAACGCAAGGAUCUUUCCACCUGUGUAUUGCUACCUUUCACCCCAGAGAGGGCCAGGUGGGGAAGGCCUGGAUGGGCUAGCUGUGCAGAUCCCCCAGAGCUGAAGGGCUGGUCUGGAGAGAAGUCUAGAAUGGGGAUUUCUAAACACAGUGGAAGCCAUGAGAGAGAAUAUCUGAAGCAAUUCAUUAAAAUCUUGGCAGCGGGGCCCACAGCUCUGCUCCCUCUGAAAGCUGCCUUCACUGAAGCUGAAGCGUUCCCAGCAGCUCCCUCCACAGAAGACCUAUUGUCAGCACCUCUGGAGGGGCAGUCCCUGGAGAAGCUGCGUCAGUCAAUCAAGGGUCUUGAAUAAAUGAAAACGACAUAAAUAAAUCACUAAAGGGGUGGGCUAGGGUGCCCUUUUGAAUGCCCCUAGGAAAAUAAAUUUGAUUAAAAUGAAAUAUUUUACUGUACGAUGUAACGCUCCAAUUCAGAGGAUUCUGGGGUCCCUCCAGUGAGUGUCAGUUGUGGAGGAAAGGGGAAUGACGGGCUGUCCUUCAGCUGUUGAAUCAGACGAACCUCUUUUCUUGGACAAGAUUUUACAUUGAGAAGGCGUUGUAGGUGAUGGAAAAUGAAAGAUGUUUC